UUCAGUCUGCACCGCCUUAAUGAGCUGUAACACUCACCACGAAAGUCUACAGCUUUACUCCUGAAGCCAGCGAGACCAUAAACCCACUGGGAGGAAUGAACAACUCCAGACACGCCACCUUAAGAGCUGUUAAUACUCAGUUGGAAGGUCUGCAGCUUCAUUCCUGAAGCCACCAAAACCACAAACCCACCAGAAAGGAUAAACUUUGAACACGUCUGAAUAUCAGAAGGCACAAACGCUGGACACACCAUCUUUAAGAAUUGUAACACUCACUGCCUAUCAGAAGGCACAAACCCCGGACACACCGUCUUUAAGAACUGUAACACUCACCGUGAGGGUCUGUGGCUUCCUUCUUGAGGUCAGUGAAGUCAGGAAUCCACCAAUUUUGGACACAACAGCAUAUGUCAAGGCUGUUUUUCUGGGUGGGGAAAUACAAAAGAGACAGUUUUAUUUUAUUUUUUUAUGUUUGCAAAGACUUCAUCUCUGCCCACUGAGACCUGAUGUGGCAGCUGCCACCAGCCUCCCCGGCAGGAAAGCCACAUGCCAGAGGGCCGCUCUCUGAGAUGCUCAAAGUCCAUGUUCCUACACAGCUCUUUGGCAGCUGUCUCUCUAUACUUGUACAACUGGAAUUCAAAUUCUUUGUACAUCUGGUUAUUCUGCUUCUCAUUGAGAUUGAGGGAAGGUGAGAGCACCUGGCAGCUGAGGAAUUCUAGAAGAAUCUUGUCAGGUCCAGAAGUCUUAGGAAAGCCGCCCUGGAGGUUAUAAUCUCAGUUACUCAGAAAGGGAAAUCAGGAAAGAGAACGGG
rnacentral:lncRNA from 10 species